rnacentral:tRNA from 1 species
UGAGAUGUAGCAUAACUAAUGCUUUUCAUUUACACUGAAGGGAUGUUUGAGUGAUCGAUCCGUCUUAA